rnacentral:rRNA from 1 species
CAGUAGCCGCGGUAAUACGUAGGUGGCAAGCGUUGUCCGGAAUUAUUGGGCGUAAAGGGCUCGCAGGCGGUUUCUUAAGUCUGAUGUGAAAGCCCCCGGCUCAACCGGGGAGGGUCAUUGGAAACUGGGAAACUUGAGUGCAGAAGAGGAGAGUGGAAUUCCACGUGCAGCGGUGAAAUGCGUAGAGAUGUGGAGGAACACCAGUGGCGAAGGCGACUCUCUGGUCUGUAACUGACGCUGAGGAGCGAAAGCGUGGGGAGCGAACAGGAUUAGAUACCCCCGUAGUCCCUGUCUCUUAUAC